rnacentral:rRNA from 1 species
UACGGAGGAUCCAAGCGUUAUCCGGAAUCAUUGGGUUUAAAGGGUGCGUAGGCGGCCUAUUAAGUCAGGGGUGAAAGACGGUAGCUUAACUAUCGCAGUGCCCUUGAUACUGAUGGGCUUGAAUAUACUAGAGGUAGGCGGAAUGUGACAAGUAGCGGUGAAAUGCAUAGAUAUGUCACAGAACACCAAUUGCGAAGGCAGCUUACUAUGGUAUUAUUGACGCUGAGGCACGAAAGCGUGGGGAUCAAACAGG